CCUACGGGAGGCAGCAGUGAGGAAUAUUGGUCAAUGGUCGGGAGACUGAACCAGCCAAGCCGCGUGAGGGAUGAAGGUACAGAGUAUCGUAAACCUCUUUUGUCAGGGAACAAAGGCGGGGACGUGUCCCCGGAUGAGUGUACCUGAAGAAAAAGCAUCGGCUAACUCCGUGCCAGCAGCCGCGGUAAUACGGAGGAUGCGAGCGUUAUCCGGAUUUAUUGGGUUAAAAGGGUGCGCAGGCGGUCUAUUAAGUCAGCGGUCAAACCCCGGGGCGAAACCCCGGCCCGCCGUUGAAACUGGCAGUCUCGAGUUGGAGAGAAGUAUGCGGAAUGCGCGGUGUAGCGGUGAAAUGCAUAGAUAUCGCGCAGAACUCCGAUUGCGAAGGCAGCAUGCCGGCUCCACACUGACGCUGAGGCACGAAAGCGUGGGUAUCGAACAGGAUUAGAUACCCUUGUAGUC
rnacentral:rRNA from 1 species